GAGAGAGGAGACUUAUUUGCAGCAGGCCGUAAGUGAGGGACGAGGGCGUGCGACAGCCGCCGGAGGGCCACGGAGGAGGCGGCGCAGCGCGGCCCGGCCCGGCCCCGCCCGCCAUGAGGCCGCAGCAGGCGCCCGUGUCCGGCAAGGUCUUCAUCCAGCGGGACUACAGCAGCGGCACCCGGUGCCAGUUCCAGACCAAGUUCCCCGCCGAGUUGGAGAACCGGAUUGACCGGCAGCAGUUUGAAGAAACAGUUCGUACUCUAAAUAACCUUUAUGCAGAAGCAGAAAAGCUUGGGGGCCAAUCUUACCUUGAAGGCUGUUUAGCUUGUUUGACGGCAUAUACUAUCUUUUUGUGCAUGGAAACACAUUAUGAAAAGGUUCUGAAGAAAAUCACCAAAUAUAUUCAGGAACAGAAUGAGAAGAUUUAUGCUCCACAGGGCCUCCUUCUGACAGACCCAAUUGAGAGAGGACUUCGUGUUAUUGAAAUUACCAUUUAUGAAGACAGAGGCAUGAGCAGUGGAAGAUAAACCAUGGAGUCCAAGAUUAUUUUUAUAUAUUAGACUAGCCUCCUCACAUGACUGCUCAGGCCCUGCCAUCAAUCAGUUCACAUAGAAAUGCUGUGUUGGCUGUGACCCUGAGCAAGGCACCAAACCUCCCUGUGCCUGCGGCAGCUCUCAAAUCACUGCAGUGAAAGGUCCUAACCUAUCUUCGGAAAGAGUUCUCUUAAGUGAAGUCACAGGGCCAGUCCCUGACCUAAUCUGCCGCUGACAUAUCACUGUUUGCCCUCCACGAAUAUCAUUAAAUAAAUGGGUUAAUGCUACAAAAAGAUCCAUAGACCCAGUUGUGUUGUGGUUUUCCUGGUGUUCUUUUUCUGAGUUCUCUGAAACACUGAGACUGCUCCAGCUGGCCACAGUGCAACAGUACUACCUUCGGAGCAGGAGAUGCUGGUAUUCCUUCACUUCUGCCAGUUUCUCAAAGUUAUGUGAGAUCUUUCAGGAGGCUAAAGUCUCAUUUCUCCUGUAGAUCUACUCUUGAUGACUUCCUCAACUGGUUUCUGUCACAGACUAUUCCCUGCACAGUGGCAGAAUGUGGCAAAGAUAGACAACUUCUCCCAGAUGUGGGAGGAACCACAUAGAAAGCAGAAACUUUCAUGGAGUAAAAAUGAGAACUUUUUCCUUCCUUUGCUUCAGGAUCUUGUCAGCACUUUUGAGGAACAAAGCUGUUAGUGGCUUCUGUCCAGUUUAUUUGAAACUCCUGACAAAGUUAGCCUCGCUAUUCUUAAAUGCUGUCUACUCUGGCACUGGGAAGUGUUACCUGAAUUUUCCUUAAAACCCAAAUAAUGAUGCCUGUGCCAUAUGUUUAGUUGUUAUAAAAAGCCUCAGAUAGCAGAGUACUUUGGAAUAUGUAGUGUUACUUGUCCAUACAGUUUCUGAUUUGCAGUUUCCUAACUGAUUUCUAAAAAUGAGCAAUCAGAAACCUUGUGUGGCUUUUGUUACAUGCCAUUCGAAUAAAUUUGUUUUAUCAAUUGCAGCUGCGUUGACUUGGCACAAUUCAUUUGUCAUGACUCAUUUUGCAGCUAUUAUUGCUAAACAAUGUUUUUCUGAGGUAGUGUGGGGUUUUGAGCAAUUAUACACAAGAGGCUAAUCUAUCAAUGUUCAAACAACUGUGAAAUUUUUGAAAUGGGAAAGAUUUACAUUAGGAACUUCUGGAUAGUUUCAUGAAUUGCAAAUGUUUUUGUUCAGCACAAUUGUGUUUUUAGAGCUGUGUGUUCAUCAGGAGCAAAACCCAGAAAGGGCUGGGAGCUUGUCAAACAGCUGUAUGAAUGUGUGUGAGGGCAUGUGAAAGUGCACUUAAUGCUUCACCAAUCCCCGCCACACACACACACACCACCCCAAGCUCCACACCUCAAAUCUGCAAGUUGGCUGGAGAUUAAAGUUAGUGUUUGGGGAUUAAGUGUAUAUUUUAAUGAAGGAAUAUACAAAAGGAAGAUGACCUUCAUGAAAAGAACUUUCAGUAAAAAGUAGCAUUUUGUCACUUUUUUGUUAAUCUUUUGUAAAGUACUGGAAAAGUAGAAAGCAUUUUGCAAAUGUGCCAAUGCUCUCUCUAUCCCUCACAGCCCUGUGAGGUACCUGAUGUUAUCUCUGUCAGGCUUCUCAUGUGAAAAAGAAAUGAUUUGCUCAAUGUCACAAUAAAAUAAUGACUUUUUAAAAUUUUGAGUUCACGAUAUUUGCUUUCUAGGUCAUUGAGCUAGAUGAAAUAUAAGCUCUUGCAAAUCCAGAAAACCCACCAGAGUCCAUCUCAGAAUGGGACUCUUCUGUCCACCGGCCAACUGCAGAGUGUCCCCUACCUCCUCUCCAAGCAUCAUUCCUUUGUAUCUGCUGCCAGAGCCACGGUGCCAUUCUACUCCAAGGACUAACUUUCUAAAAUUCCGCUCCUGGGGUGACAUCUAGUCACUUAGCAUCCACUUUGUGUCUUUAAACUGUGUAGGACUCUGUAAUCUUUGUAGUUAUUUCUGAGAAAAUAUAAUGAAGCAUUUCGCUUUUUUAAUUCAAAACAAUUUAAUAAAAUGAGCUGUGUAAAUCAGCCCAAUCCAAAAUCCAUUUAUCUGCCACCAGGACUGUUGGUUCUGCUCAGUAUUUAUGGUGUCCUCUCUACAGGUGGUUUUUUUUUUUAUUUCAGCAAGUCAUAUCCAGGUUUGGUUUCAUUUUCCCUGAAUUGAAUGUUUUUUUCUUCCGGGUAUGGUUUUUGAUGAGGGGUAAGCUAUGCCUGUGGCCUGCUGACACAUCUCCUAGACCUCAAGGAACUCAAAGGAUUUCCAGAAGAUGUUUCUACUAUUAGUUUCUCAUACUGAAGCUCAUUGGAAAGAUAAUAUAUAAUGCUAUUUGUUUUCAAUGUAGCACUUAUUUACUAAGUGAACCAGUAUUUCAUGUGAUUUCCAGUUACCUUGAUUCUCCUUGGAGAAUUUUAUCAUUACUGCAUUGCCAUGAACGUUGGGAGGAUGUAGUAUGUGUUGCUUGUUUUAUUAAAACUAUGUAAGCACAAUAAAGUGGAUGCUAAACCAUCAGACCUAUAGACAUCCUUGCUCUGUCCCUUAAUGUGUAAUAAGCAAGUGUAAUGAACAUUUUCCUUAUGGCUUUAUUAUAAAUAUAACUUAUGGGGGAAAUAAUUUGGUAGGAAUAAUACUGUAUGUGCUCAUUUUUUUUAAACUAUUUCCACUGGCAAAACUUAUGAAUCAUAAAUGUUUCUUGAAUUCAGUAUUCAGGAUGCACAUAAAUCUUGUAAUUAGUUCAGGUAAAAUAAUAUGAAUGUUUCCUGAGUAAAAUUCCUAAAAAUCUAAUUUAAUAUUUGUUUCUCUUCUACCUACAUUCUUCAUGACAGUAUUUUCCAAGACCUUGAAAUUAAGUUAAUCGUUAUGGCUUGAGAGCAUUGUUCUUUGGAAAGAGCUAAGGGAUUUACUAGAAAAGAAUUAAAGUUCUACUCCCAGUGAUUGUAGGUGCUAAUACUGGAUCUAAUCUUCCAGAUUUAAUUUCUGUUAUGGAUUUGUUAGUCAUUCAUCUAAACCCCAGAGGCUUGUUUAAUAUUUUAAUUGUAUAAAACCCUUUUUGUUUUUCUAUGGCGUGUAAUCGUAUGUCUGUCUGCCUUUCACACCCAUUGCAAUAACUUUGCCCAAAUAUUAAUGCGUUAGUAAAACUUUUCUUAAAUAAAUUGUCUCUGUUAUGUUUGCUUGAUA